rnacentral:lncRNA from 1 species
GUGGCGAGUUGAAAGAAGGGAGGCCGCGUUGCAGAGCGGCGGUGGGUGGUUUCUGCGGCCGACGACGCGGGGGAAAGGGGGAGGGAGGCGGCUCUGCGUGUGUCUGUGUGUGUCUGUGUGAGAGAGAGAGAUAGAGAGAGAGAGGCGGUGAGAGAGAGAGACAGUGGGAUUGGGUUAAGGGGUGAGAGGGUGGCGGCGGCGGCGG